GAGCUUGCUUCUCCGGAUGAGUUGCGAACGGGUGAGUAACGCGUAGGUAACCUGCCUGGUAGCGGGGGAUAACUAUUGGAAACGAUAGCUAAUACCGCAUAAGAGUAGAUGUUGCAUGACAUUUGCUUAAAAGGUGCAAUUGCAUCACUACCAGAUGGACCUGCGUUGUAUUUGCUAGUUGGUGGGGUAACGGCUCACCAAGGCGACGAUACAUAGCCGACCUGAGAGGGUGAUCGGCCACACUGGGACUGAGACACGGCCCAGACUCCUACGGGAGGCAGCAGUAGGGAAUCUUCGGCAAUGGACGGAAGUCUGACCGAGCAACGCCGCGUGAGUGAAGAAGGUUUUCGGUUCGUAAAGCUCUGUUGUAAGAGAAGAACGAGUGUGAGAGUGGAAAGUUCACACUGUGACGGUAUCUUACCAGAAAGGGACGGCUAACUACGUGCCAGCAGCCGCGGUAAUACGUAGGUCCCGAGCGUUAUCCGGAUUUAUUGGGCGUAAAGCGAGCGCAGGCGGUUAGAUAAGUCUGAAGUUAAAGGCUGUGG
rnacentral:rRNA from 1 species